rnacentral:rRNA from 1 species
GAAAACAAACUAACCAGGGAUUCUCUUAGUAACGGCGAGUGAAAAGAGAAGAGCCCAGAACCGAAGCCUGUUGUAAAUUAGCAGCAAGGCAAUGUGGUGUUUGGGUUGGCUGUUUGCGGGGCUGCUGUUCCAUUCGAAGUCCAGCACUGAGUAUGGUUACCUAAAAGUUGGCCCAAAGAGGGUGAAAGGCCCGUGCGAAUGGAGGAUCAGGUAUGUGUGAGGCAGUUCCCCCAGCUAAACCCUCGAGUCGGGUUGUUUGAGAUUGCAGCCCAAAGUGGGUGGUAGACCUCAUCCAAGGCUAAAUACUAGCACGAGUCCGAUAGCGAACAAGUACCGUGAGGGAAAGUUGAAAAGUACUUUGAAAAGAGAGUAAAGAGUUCGUGAAACCGCAUACAGGUAAACGGGUGGUGUCAAACUGCAAGCCCAGAGAAUUCAGUUGAUGAAGGCAGCUAGCUAACUAACUGAUAGGCAAGAUACUGCGUGCUGAUAGACUUGUUUUACUUGCUGUCAGAGCAGGCAGUUGUUAGCAUAGAGAUAGAGAGAGAGCUCUUUCAUCAAUGCACUUUCUCUGACUAGCCUAUAUGGCGGUGAACACCAUGACCGGCGGUAUUGCCAGUCUGUCUUGGCCAAUCAUGCGUAUCUAUCUAGGCAGAAAGGUUUUUUUUUAAAAAGCUUUUACUACCUACCUGGUUAGUGCGCAUUGACAUAUACAGGUAGAUUUAGUGGACGGUGUACUGAUAGUAACUGGAUGGGUUACCGGAAAGUCUAUUGGUGCAUGUAUUCGGUCACUAGCUACCAACGGUGUGCAUGCAAAUGUGGCGCAUUUAAUUAGGCGUCUACGUGCUCCGGUAGGCCAAGAUAGUAUGUGUAACUGUGCAAGGCGUCGGAGACAAUGGUCCUGCGCUGGUGUAUUAAUUGCGCUUUAUUGCUAUGCAUUCUGUGCUAUGCAUGAAGUGCUGUUGAUGCAUGCGGUUGCAGAAGCGUUAGCCUACUCACAUGUAGAACAGUGCAGCCAGGCUUUAAUAGCACUAGAACAGCCAGGAGUCAGGUAGGACUAAAUGCGCUAGCAGGAUUGGCGUGUUUUAUUAAGCUGACGCAAAUGUCGGCCCGCCAAUAGUCCUCUGGCUAUAGCCGGUGUUUGUAAGUGCUAGUUUGGUAUCUGGUGAGUGGGUAUUUGCUAACUCGGUGCAUAACUAACUUUAGUUGUUUACUAAUUGCUUGCGCAUAUCUAUGUGUCUAGCUGUUAGUGUACAGCUAGAGAGAGUGUUGCUUGAGUGUGCAGCGUAACUGCAUAGCCGUAUUAUGUAAAUAAAUGUAGGGGCCUUAAAGUCUAUGGUGUAGUGGUAGACUUGCCACCCGACCCGUCUUGAAACACGGACCAAGGAGUUUAACUUGUACGCGAGUCAUUGGACAGUACGAAAGCCAGCGGCACAGUGAAAGUAAAGCCUUGCAUUAUUAGCAAGGUGAGGUGGGAUCUUGUUCUAGUGCAUAAUUGCCUUCUUCUUUUUGUUAUGCAUUAGUGGAAGUGCAAAAGAUGCAAGUGCAAGCGCACCACCGGCCCGUUCCAUGGUGUAGUUAGCUUACUAAGCUAGUAAAUACUAGCUUAUUAAAAGCUGCGUCACCGGAGCGGAGCAGGAGCG